rnacentral:ncRNA from 1 species
GCCAAGAGUAGAAGCGUUCACCGGCCUGGUGCGGCCGGCCGGAAAUUGCUCUUGAA